UACGUAGGUGGCAAGCGUUGUCCGGAUUUACUGGGCGUAACGAGCGCGCAGGCGGCCAAGUCAGUCGAAUGUGAAAGCCCCCGGCUUAACUGGGGAGGGUCAUUCGAUACUGCUCGGCUCGAAGACAGGAGAGGGAAGCGGAAUUCCCGGUGUAGUGGUGAAAUGCGUAGAUAUCGGGAGGAACACCAGUGGCGAAGGCGGCUUUCUGGCCUGUUCUUGACGCUGAGGCGCGAAAGCUAGGGGAGCAAACGGG
rnacentral:rRNA from 1 species